CCAACAAAGAACUAAUUACAAAGAAGAGAACUAAGGAACAUAGGGAUAGAAUCACUAGAGGUGAGUCCCCAAGCCCUAGACCAAUCAAAAAGAGAGCCACUAAAGUAAGC